CUGCUGAAGCUGCUGCAGGUGCUGAUUGUCUUGGAACACCACCUGGGUCGGGCCCACGAGGAGGCGGAAAACCAGCCCGACCUGUCCCGGGAGUGGCAGAGAGCCCUGAACUUCCAACAGGCCAUCAGCGCCCUGCAGUACGUGCAGCCCCACCCCCUCACCUCCCAGGGUCUGCUGGUCUCUGCGGUGGUGAGGGGUCUGCAGCCCGCCUACGGCUACGGCAUGCAUCCGGCCUGGGUGAGCUUGGUCACGCAUUCCUUGCCCUACUUCGGAAAGUCUCUGGGCUGGACGGUGACACCCUUUGUUGUCCAGAUUUGCAAAAACUUGGAUGACUUGGUCAAGCAGUAUGAAAGCGAAUCUGUGAAGCUCUCUGUCAGCACAACCUCCAAGAGGGAAAACAUUUCUCCAGAUUAUCCACUCACCCUUCUAGAAGGUCUAACGACCAUUAGUCAUUUUUGUCUUUUGGAACAAGCCAACCAAAACAAAAAGACCAUGGCUGCAGGUGAUCCUGCCAACUUGAGGAAUGCCAGAAAUGCCAUUUUGGAAGAGCUGCCUCGAACUGUUAACACCAUGGCCCUUCUCUGGAAUGUUCUCAGAAAGGAGGAGACUCAAAAGAGACCUGUCGAUCUCCUAGGGGCCACGAAGGGAUCCUCUUCCGUUUACUUUAAAACCACCAAAACCAUAAGACAAAAAAUUUUAGACUUCUUAAACCCCUUGACGGCCCAUCUUGGGGUUCAGUUGACAGCGGCUGUUGCGGCAGUGUGGAGCAGAAAGAAAGCCCAGCGUCACAGUAAGAUGAAGAUUAUCCCAACGGCAAGUGCAUCCCAGCUAACCCUUGUCGACUUGGUGUGUGCACUCAGCACCCUGCAGACUGACACGCUGCUGCACCUGGUGAAGGAGGUGGUGAAGAGGCCACCCCAAGUCAAAGGGGGUGAUGAGAAAUCGCCCCUAGUGGACAUUCCUGUGUUGCAGUUUUGCUAUGCUUUUCUCCAAAGGUAAUACAGUCCCCCGUCCUCCAAAAACUUCCUUAAAUACAGAUGCUAUUGCAGUGAGCAUGCAUAAUAAAUAUCUGUUUUUAUUUCUAGACUACUAGAGAGCCAUUGUUCAGAAAAUAUCUUAAAGUUGUCAUAAUUUCUUCCCAAGGUAUUGAUCUAUGCUUUUCCUUCUCCAGAGAGUUAACAUCUUAAAAUCUGUGCAGCAUAUUUUGAACACUUUAUAUGAGCGAAGCUUUAUGUGAGGCCUGUUAAACUUUAAAAGGCUUGGAUUUGCAUUAAAUUGAUACAGAAAAAGAAAAAAACCACAUAUAGGGAAGUGUUAAAGACCUCUUUUAGAAAAAGGAGAAAUGGGCCAGGCGCGGUGGCUCACACCUGCAAUCCCAGCACUUUGGGAGGUGGAGGCAGGCGGAUCACUUGAGGCCAGGAGUUGGAGACCAGCCUAGUCAACAUGGUGAAACCCCAUCUCUACUAAAAAUACAAAAAUUAGUCCGGCAUGGUGGCGUGCGCCUGUAAUCCCAGCUACUCGGGAGGCUGAGGCAGGAGAAUUGCAUGAACCCAGGAGGCGGAGGUUGCAGUGAGCCAAGACCUCACCACUGCUCUCCAGCCUGGGUGACAGACCAAGGCUCUGUCUCAAAAAAAAAAAGGCAAAAUGAUUGUUUCUGGUGGCGUUCUCAGUGUGCCUUCCCAUGUUUUAUGUGGAGAGGUAUCUGCUUUGAUUUGCUAAGUUAAUAUAUAUGUAUUAGGUGUCUCAGCUAAGAGAGCAUUAAAGGAGAUUCCGCAGGUUUUUCCCCAUAGAUGAAAAAGAAGCUUUACUGGACCUCAUUCAGAUCUUACAAUGGCCGCAUCCCAGGUGCAGCUCUUCGUUGCAGAAAAUGAGGGUGAGGUGGCUGGGUGCGGUGGCUCAACGCCUGUAAUCCCAGCACUUUGGGAGGCUAGAGUGGGUGAGUCACUUGAGGCCAGGACUUUGAGACCAGCCUGGCCAACGUGGUAAAACCCUAUGUCUACUAAAACUACAAAAAAAUUAGCCAGGGCUUGGUGGCAGCAUGCCUGUAGUCCCAGCUACUCGGGAAGCUGAGGCAGGUGAAUCACUUGAACCCAGGAGGCAGAGGUUGCAGUGAGCUGAGAUCACACCACUGCACUCCAGCCUGGGGGACAGAAUGAGACUCUAUCUCAAAAA
rnacentral:sRNA from 1 species